rnacentral:rRNA from 1 species
CAGCCGUAAACUAUGCGCGUUAGGUGUACUGGUGACCACGAGUCACCGGGGUGCCGAAGGGAAACCGUGAAACGUGCCGCCUGGGAAGUACGGUCGCAAGGCUGAAACUUAGAGGAAUUGGCGGGGGAGCACCACAACGGGUGGAGCCUGCGGUUUAAUUGGACUCAACGCCGGAAAUCUCACCGGAUAGGACAGACAUAUGAUAGUCGGGCUGAAGACUCUACUUGAUGAUCUGAGAGGUGGUGCAUGGCGUCAGUGACU